UACGUAGGGGGCAAGCAUUGUCCGGAUUUACUGGGCGUAAAGGGCGCGUAGGCGGCCUCUGCAAGUCGACUGUGAAAUCUCCGGGCUUAACCCGGAAAGGUCAGCCGGAUACUGCAGGGCUAGAGUGCAGAAGGGGCAAUCGGAAUUCUUGGUGUAGCGGUGAAAUGACGUAGAUAUCAAGAGGAACACCUGAGGUGAAGACGGGUUGCUGGGCUGACACUGACGCUGAGGCGCGAAAGCCAGGGGAGCAAACGGG
rnacentral:rRNA from 1 species